ensembl:lncRNA
CAAAUACUUGGAGAAAACUGACUGUAAAUUAUGUGCUAUCUUCCAGUAUAUGCUGGCUAAGAUCUUCAUUGGUCUUCAACCCCAUACACUUCAACCCCAUCACAAUAUACUGUAAAUCAGAAAACUUGUUUAUUUAUUAUGAAUGUGACCUGAUGUUUCAGACAACUGGCGUAGUCCUUAUUUAGUGACUUACAACUGCUUCAAAUUGGAAUUGAUGUAUGAGCAAAAAAAAAAAAAGAACUUUCUUCAGUCAUUUACUGACCCAAUGAUCCAAACCUGUAUGACUUUCUUUGGACAUACAAAUAUGUAUUUUCAGAAAUGUAUCAGUGUUUUCUAAUGCAAUUGAAGCAACCAAAGUGGGGGGUGAGUCAACCCCCCGAACCUUUAAAAUCCGAAGUUCCUAUAAAUCACUUAGCCUCCUUAAACCCAUUGUUUAAUACACACACAUUGUGACACCGGCUGCAGCAGCCGAAAUAAACUGCAGUGCGCUUAGAAAACAAAAAGAUGCGCAUUUGUACACUGAUUUCUUCUGAGGAAGAGCGAGAGAGAGAGAGAGAGAGAGAGAGAGAGAGAGAGAGAGAGAGAGAGAGAGAGAGAGAGAGAGAGAGAGAGAGAGAGAGAGAGAGAGAGAGAGAGAGAGAGAGAGAGAGAGAGAGAGAGAGAGAGAGAGAGAGAGAGAGAGAGAGACUUGCUCGUGCAGGGAGCGUGUUCGGCGUUCACUUCACCUCCCACAUGUAACGUGGCAGACAGCGAUGGCAAAGCUCCUCAACAAGUGAAGCGUGUUGUCUUCAGUUCCCCGAACAAUCGCAGCAUGGUUGCGGUGAGCGCGGAGAGCCCCGUGGAUCAGUACCGGACGCUGGCGUACGACACCGCGCUCAGUACUUUACUCGCUGUGCUGGUGUACGUGGUGGUGAAGGUGAGCCUGGACGGGAUCCGCCAGUGGCGGGCUCGGAUCUCGGUUCUGAUCGUGGGCUCGGGUCCGAUCGGGCUGACCGCGGCUCUGGUCGCUGUCCGCUCCGGUAAAGUGCUGAAACUGACGCUCCUGGAUGAGCGCUACCGGAGCGCGCUGCUCUGCAGACCGCAGCAGAUCGCGCUGGACCCCCGCAGCGUCCGCUUCCUCCUGGACCUGGGGGUGGAUUUUGACAACAUGGAAGGCUGCUGGCACAACGAGCACUUCUUCACCAAAAUCGGAGUGUUUCAGGAGUAUUUGUUGAGCAUCCUGGAGCAGAAGAAGCAAAAGGUUGACGUGAAAGUCCAUUUGGGUACAAAGUUUAGCGAGGAGUACCUGAGGAAGAUGCCGAGGGGUGAAUGGCCGCGGGUGAUUGUAGUUGCUGACGGUUCGUGUGGAGACUCCUGCUCUGUGCUGGGCAUCAGCGCUGAUUACAUCGUGGAAUCAUGUCGCGCUUAUGGCGCCAAUGCUACUAUAGAAAGACCGGACCAGAGACAGGUUCCUACACCAGAGAUCCGUGCACAUAGUUUGUAUUUUGAUCUGUCUGCGUAUGGGAUCGACACUGUGAGGGAAUCCCGCAGCUCCUCGCAGCCGCCAGCGAAGCCUGGAUUCCACCUGAAGAUCUACGGGACGUUCCGGAACCGCUGCAUGGCUCUGGCCUGCACUUCAGACGCAGACUCCAAAAUGAUGCAUUUCCUGCGCCACACGGCCAACUCUUCAAUCAUGAAGAACAUCUUCCACCAGUCGUUCAACGCGUAUAAGACAGACAUCGAGCCUCGUCUGAGUGAACUGACGCUGCACCACAUGCAGUGCAGCCGCAAGCUGUUCCAGAUCAUGCUGUCCUACAGACGCGUCAGCGCCGCUUACAUCGAAGGAGACAACGUGGCCGUGACUGUGGAAGGAGAAGCUGCGCGAGUGCUCAACUUCGACACUGGUGAGCAUCACCUGUAUGCUUCUAGACCAUAUAUAGUUUUACUUAUCUUUCAUGGUUUUCCAUUCCAUUGCAUGUCAUUUUCCAUGUAAACAUGCCCUAGAUGGACAUGUUUGGCUGUUGAGUUCAUGUCUUGUGUCUGAUGCAGCAUCUCACGCAUGACAUGCUGGUCUAAAAACAUAGCAUUUAGAAGUUGUUCAACUUAAAAAAAAAAAAAACAUCUUUACACAUGUUUUUACACUUCUGUUUUUUUCUUUCCUCCUCUUCUACUCUCCUGUGUCUCACAUUUUUAACUGGAAAAAAAUUAAUUCAGUGUGAAUUUCCCCUUAUACUUGUGGUUAUAGAUAUUCAUGUUUAUAACUACACAUAUAUUUACUGCUACAAAUUUAGAUGAAGUAAAACUAUGCAUUUAUGCUUUUAAAUAAUAUUUGAGCUCUAAAACCUAAAAUUUAUCAUGCAAAAAGAAAAAAGAAAAAAAAAGCCAAAUUUCAUGUAUAAAGAUAUAUGUAAAAUAUGUAUUUUUGUUUCUAAAGAUUUAAAUGCAGCAUUUUUAUAUCCCCCCUGCACUGUCUGUUCAACCCUGUUAUA